rnacentral:rRNA from 1 species
CGCUGGCGGCGUGCCUAACACAUGCAAGUCGAGCGGGAAUUCUCCGAUCAAAGCUUCGGCAGCGAGACGGGAAGGAGAGCGGCGGACGGGUGAGUAACGCGUAGGUAACCUACCUUAUGCACAGGGAUAGCCCCGGGAAACUGGAAUUAAUACCUGAUAACGCAUUUUGGUCACAUGGCCACGGAUGCCAAAGAUUUAUCGGCAUAAGAUGGACCUGCGUCUGAUUAGCUGGUUGGUGAGGUAACGGGCCCACCCAAGGCGACGAUCAGUAGCCGACCUGAGAGGGUAAUCGGCCACAUUGGAACUGAGACACGGUCCAAACUCCUACGGGAGGCAGCAGUGGGGAAUAUUACACAAUGGGCGCAAGCCUGAUGUAGCAACGCCGCGUGAGCGAAGAAGGUCUUCGGAUCGUAAAGCUCUGUCCUUGGGGACGAAGGAAGUGACGGUACCCAAGGAGGAAGCCCCGGCUAACUACGUGCC